GACGAACGCUGGCGGCGUGGAUUAGGCAUGCAAGUCGAACGGUAUCAUCCUUUCGGGGGUGAGAGAGUGGCGAACUGGUGAGUAACACGUAGGUUAUCUACCCUCAAGACGGGGACAACCCAGGGAAACUUGGGCUAAUACCGGAUGUGAGCAACUUUUAGUUGUUUGAAAGGUGGCGUAAGCUGUCGCUUGGGGAUGAGCCUGCGUCCUAUUAGUUAGUUGGUGAGGUAACGGCUCACCUAGGCAAUGAUAGGUAGGCGGCCUUAACGGGUGGUCGCCCACACUGGGAUUGAGAUACGGCCCAGACUCCUACGGGAGCAGCAGUCGAGAAUAGUCUACAAUGGUCGGAAGACUGAUAGUGCGACGCCGCGUGAACGAUGAAUCCCUUCGGGGUGUAAGUUCUUUUAUAUGUGAGCAGUGCUUCUUAUAUUAACAGUAUGGGAGAGAGAUAUUAGCAUAUGAAUAAGCAACGGCUAACUCCGUGCCAGCAGCCGACGGU
rnacentral:rRNA from 1 species